GUCAUACUACGGCGCAAUGCCCUGGAAAGUAAACGAUGACCCAUAGGGAACUCCAGGGUAAAAUACGUAUCAAAUUGAGAAUUGUAGCUGACCUGGGGCUUUGUACCCGGGUCGGUAUUUUUU
rfam:Citrobacter koseri ATCC BAA-895, complete genome.